rnacentral:rRNA from 1 species
GAUGAACGCUGGCGGCGUGCUUAAUACAUGCAAGUCGAGCGAACAGAUGCGGAGCUUGCUCCUCUGACGUUAGCGGCGGACGGGUGAGUAACACGUGGAUAACCUACCUAUAAGACUGGGAUAACUUCGGGAAACCGGAGCUAAUCCCGGAUAAUAUCUUGAACCGCAUGGUUCAAUAGUGAAAGACGGUUUUGCUGUCACUUAUCGAUGGAUCCGCGCCGCAUUAGCUAGUUGGUAAGGUAACGGCUUACCAAGGCAACGAUGCGUAGCCGACCUGAGAGGGUGAUCGGCCACACUGGAACUGAGACACGGUCCAGACUCCUACGGGAGGCAGCAGUAGGGAAUCUUCCGCAAUGGGCGAAAGCCUGACGGAGCAACGCCGCGUGAGUGAUGAAGGUCUUCGGAUCGUAAAACUCUGUUAUUAGGGAAGAACAAAUGUGUAAGUAACUAUGCACGUCUUGACGGUACCUAAUCAGAAAGCCACGGCUAACUACGUG